rnacentral:rRNA from 1 species
CUUUACUGCAGCUUUGCAGUGGCAUUAGGAGAGGGCUGUGUAGGAUAGGUGGGAGGCUUUGAAGCCGGGGCGCUAGCUUCGGUGGAGCCAACCUUGAAAUACCACCCUGACCUCUUCUGAUGUCUAACCGCGACCGGUCAGCCCGGUCCGGGACCCUGCAUGGUGGGCAGUUUGACUGGGGCGGUCGCCUCCCAAAUAGUAACGGAGGCGCGCGAUGGUGGGCUCAGGCCGGUCGGACAUCGGCUGCUGAGUGCAAUGGCACAAGCCCGCCUGACUGCGAGAGUGACAGCUCGAGCAGAGACGAAAGUCGGCCAUAGUGAUCCGGUGGUCCCGCGUGGAAGGGCCAUCGCUCAACGGAUAAAAGGUA